GAUGAACGCUAGCGGCAGGCCUAAUACAUGCAAGCCGGACGGCAAGUUGAGUAGCAAUACUUGACCUAGAGUGGCGUAAGGGUGCGUAACACGUAUGCAAUCUGCCCACAGCCGGGAGAUAGCCCUCCGAAAGGAGGAUUAAUAUCCCAUAGGAAGAUGAGAUGGCAUCAUUUUAUUUUUAAACUACGGGGCUGUGGAUGAGCAUGCGGUUGAUUAGCUAGUUGGCGGGGUAAAGGCCCACCAAGGCGAUGAUCAAUAGGGGACCUGAGAGGGUGAUCCCCCACACUGGCACUGAGAUACGGGCCAGACUCCUACGGGAGGCAGCAGUAGGGAAUAUUGGACAAUGGGUGUAAGCCUGAUCCAGCCAUGCCGCGUGCAGGAAGAAGGCCCUUUCUGGGGGUUUGUAAAAACCUUGGCUUUUUGCCCGGGGGGAUAAAAAGAUCCAUGCGUGGAGAAUUGAAGGUACCCGGUGAAUAAGCCACGGCUAAACUACGUGCCAGCAGCCGCGGUAA
rnacentral:rRNA from 1 species